rnacentral:lncRNA from 1 species
UCCCAUUUUAAUAAUCAUUCUUCUGUUUUGUACUUAGUGCUAGAGAGAGCGGCGUUCCAACUAGUUUAUUAAAUUACUAAAACCCCAACAUCUUCCAUUUUAGUUCAACCUGUAUUGAACUCUCAACGAUUUUCUUAAUUCUAUUGACUCCCUUUUCCAAGACUUCAUCUAUACAUCUGACCAUCUUUGAGUUCUAUAAUUUUGUACUGGUACAUUAGUUCCCAUAUCUAACUCUUGUAUUUUAAUUGAAAUAAUUUAUUUUUUAUUCUCUAUGUCUCUCGUCAUACACUUAUUCAAUCCAGACCAUGGUAUCACAACUUCUCUCAUGUUGUGGUAUGCUAGAUAGUACUUGAUGACUAAAUAACAUUUCUUUAGGUGAUUUUCCAUCAAUCUUCAGGUUAUUUCUAAACUCAAUUCCUUCAUUGCUUUGACUAUACUUUCAGCGUGGUUAUUACUUUGAGAAUAAUGAGGAGAUGAUGUCCCCCAUGUUAUAUUUAAUCACUUCAAAAAUCCUUAAAUUCUUAGAAGUAAAUUGUGGACCUUUAUCUGUCUUCAGCUUCGUAGGAAUUCCAGUCUUCGAAAAUAUCUUCCUUAAUAAUACGAUUACAUCCUUAGAACUAAGAACUCCCUUAAAUUCUUCUAUGUCCGUAUAUAUAAUUUCAAACGGUCUUAUCGGAGUCGGGUUUUCUCUUUGUCUGUUCUAUUCCUUAAUGUGAAUAAUGAAGCUUUUCCAAGAUCUCCUUUUAUUUAACUUUUGGAACUAUGAAGGGAUUUUUAUAUAAAACAAGGCCUCCCUCAAUGCUCACUUCAGGUAAAAAUUUUAUAUAAAGUUUUUAUUCUAGCUCAAAUUACAUUAUUUUCAUUUUCAUUUUCUAAGUCUC